rnacentral:rRNA from 1 species
GACGAACGCUGGCGGCGUGCCUAAUACAUGCAAGUCGAACGAGCGGCGGACGGGUGAGUAAUGUCUGGGAAACUGCCUGAUGGCGGGGGAUAACUACUGGAAACGGUAGCUAAUACCGCAUACCAUCAGAUGUGCCCAGAUGGGAUUAGCUAGUAGGUGGGGUAACGGCUCACCUAGGCGACGAUCCCUAGCUGGUCUGAGAGGAUGACCAGCCACACGGGAACUGAGACACGGUCCAGACUCCUACGGGAGGCAGCAGUGGGGAAUAGUGCACAAUGGGCGCAAGCCUGAUGCAGCCAUGCCGCGUGUAUGAAGAAGGCCGUCGGGUUGUAAAGUACUUUCAGCGGGGAGGCGUUACCCGCAGAAGAAGCACCGGCUAACUACGUGCCAGCAGCCGCGGUAAUAC